rnacentral:rRNA from 1 species
UGCGUAGGCGGAAUAUUAAGUCAGUGGUGAAAUCCCAGAGCUCAACUCUGGAACUGCCAUUGAAACUGGUAUUCUUGAAUAUAGUUGAGGUAGGCGGAAUGUGUAAUGUAGCGGUGAAAUGCUUAGAUAUUACACAGAACACCGAUUGCGAAGGCAGCCUACUAAACUAUGAUUGACGCUGAUGCACGAAAGCGUGGGGAGCGAACAGGAUUAGAUACCCUGGUAGUCC